rnacentral:lncRNA from 1 species
UUGAAGAUAUACAAGUACCACAAUUAUUUAUCGACACAAAUAAACAAAGCAUAUAACUUUUACAACAUAAAGUGAUCAAUAAAUUGCUAUUUGUUGCAAGCUUUGGAGAAAAAAAUAUGGCUGAAAUUAUUAAGUUUGCUUAUUUAAUUAUCUUCUUUAUUUCUUUGUUUCUUGCUGUAUCUAACGAUCUUAGUGGUAAAUCAUUUUUGCAUCCUUUUGAAUUUUCUUGUUUAUCUUAUACAAAAUAUUUCAUCCCUUAUAGUAACUUUUGUUUCUUAAUUUUAUAUCACAGCAUUGUGAAAAAUUGCAAAGAGGAUGCUAAUUGUCAAUACUAUUAUUGUCUACGUUCCAAAAUGCGUUUGUCGUACAUGUAAAUGUCUUCCUCCGAGAUCCUCAUUUAUUAGAAGAUGACUUUAGUGAUAAGAAAUUGAUAUCGUAACUUCAAGGAACGUACGUAGUUAAGUUACUUUGUGUAAGAUGUACAAUUGUAAAAUAACUAUUAAAACUCACUUUUAUAUUAAUAAUAAUAAAUUUCAUCUUUGUUUAAAAUAUGUUACCGUCAAAGAUAGUAAUGAUUAUACUAGCUAGCUAGUUAAUUGUAUUUGCUUAAUUCUAAGCCUAUAAUUUU